rnacentral:rRNA from 1 species
AGUGAAUAGAUACCCUGGUAGUCCCAGCUGUAAACGAUGCGCGUUAGGUGUAUCGGUGACCACGAGUCACCGAGGUGCCGAAGGGAAACCGUGAAACGUGCCGCCUGGGAAGUACGGUCGCAAGGCUGAAACUUAAAGGAAUUGGCGGGGGAGCACCACAACAGGUGGAGCCUGCGGUUUAAUCGGACUCAACGCCGGGAAGCUCACCGGAUAAGACAGCUGAAUGAUAGCCGGGUUGAAGACUCUGCUUGACUAGCUGAGAGGAGGUGCAUGGCCGUCGUCAGUUCGUACUGUGAAGCAUCCUGUUAAGUCAGGCAACGAGCGAGACCCACGCCAACAGUUGCCAGCAUGUCCUCCGGGAUGGUGGGGACACUGUUGGGACCGCCUCUGCUAAAGAGGAGGGAGGAAUGGGCAACGGUAGGUCAGCAUGCCCCGAAUUAUCCGGGCUACACGCGGGCUACAAUGGUCAGAACAACGGGUAUCAACACCGAAAGGUGAAGGCAAUCUCCUAAACCUGUCCUUAGUUCGGAUUGUGGG